GAGAGUAUAGCUCAGUGGUAGAGUGCAUGCUUAGCAUGCACAAGGUCAUGGGUUCGAUCCCCAGUAACUCA
rnacentral:tRNA from 1 species